CAGGCUAAUUCCUGUUAGUGGGGUUUUCAUUUACGUUGAAUUUUUUUGUCGUGCAAUUCGAUAUUGUCUGA
rnacentral:tRNA from 1 species